CUUCGAUCACUGACUGAACUUGCAUCUUUCAAAAGCCAGUUAAAGACUCAUCUUUUUACCAAAGCUUACCUUUAGCUCCAGCGUGGACUCAGAGCGCCUUUGGGCGAUUACAUCGGAUUCUGGCGCUAUAGAAGUAUUUGUAUGUAUGUAUGUAUGUAUUACUUUCAGAUUCAAUUCAAAU